rnacentral:rRNA from 1 species
CCUACGGGAGGCUGCAGUGGGGAAUAUUGGACAAUGGGGGGAACCCUGAUCCAGCCAUGCCGCGUGUGUGAAGAAGGCCCUCGGGUUGUAAAGCACUUUCAGUGAGGAAGAACGCCUGGUGGUUAAUACCCAUCAGGAAAGACAUCACUCACAGAAGAAGCACCGGCUAACUCCGUGCCAGCAGCCGCGGUAAUACGGAGGGUGCGAGUGUUAAUCGGAAUUACUGGGCGUAAAGCGCGCGUAGGUGGCUUGAUAAGCCGGUUGUGAAAGCCCCGGGCUCAACCUGGGAACGGCAUCCGGAACUGUCAAGCUGGAGUGCAGGAGAGGAAGGUGGAAUUCCCGGUGUAGCGGUGAAAUGCGUAGAGAUCGGGAGGAAUACCAGUGGCGAAGGCGGCCUUCUGGACUGACACUGACACUGAGGUGCGAAAGCGUGGGUAGCAAACAGGAUUAGAUACCCUGGUAGUC